rnacentral:rRNA from 1 species
GACGGAGGAUGCAAGCGUUAUCCGGAAUUAUUGGGCGUAAAGCGUCCGUAGGCGGUUUCAAAAGUCUGUUGUUAGAGCCCACAGCUCAACCGUGGAUCGGCAAUGGAAACUGUGAGACUAGAGAGUGGUAGGGGUAGAGGGAAUUCCUAGUGUAGAGGUGAAAUUCGUAGAUAUUCGGAAGAACACCAGUGGCGAAGGCGACUUACUGGACACAUAUUGACGCUGAGGUGCGAAAGCGUGGGGAGCAAACAGG